rnacentral:rRNA from 1 species
GGGUUGUGAGGUUAAGCGACUAAGCGUACACGGUGGAUGCCCUGGCAGUCAGAGGCGAUGAAGGACGUGCUAAUCUGCGAAAAGCGUCGGUAAGGUGAUAUGAACCGUUAUAACCGGCGAUGUCCGAAUGGGGAAACCCAGUGCAAUUCGUUGCACUAUCGUUAACUGAAUACAUAGGUUAACGAGGCGAACCGGGGGAACUGAAACAUCUAAGUACCCCGAGGAAAAGAAAUCAACCGAGAUUCCCCCAGUAGCGGCGAGCGAACGGGGAGCAGCCCAGAGUCUGAAUCAGCUUGUGUGUUAGUGGAACGGUCUGGAAAGUCCGACGGUACAGGGUGAUAGUCCCGUACACCAAAAUGCACAGGUUGUGAACUCGAAGAGUAGGGCGGGACACGUGGUAUCCUGUCUGAAUAUGGGGGGACCAUCCUCAAGGCUAAAUACUCCUGACUGACCGAUAGUGAACCAGUACCGUGAGGGAAAGGCGAAAAGAACCCCGGCGAGGGGAGUGAAAAAGAACCUGAAACCGUGUACGUACAAGCAGUGGGAGCACCUUCGGGUGUGACUGCGUACCUUUUGUAUAAUGGGUCAGCGACUUAUAUUCUGUAGCAAGGUUAACCGUAUAGGGGAGCCGCAGGGAAACCGAGUCUUAACUGGGCGUUAAGUUGCAGGGUAUAGACCCGAAACCCGGUGAUCUAGCCAUGGGCAGGUUGAAGGUUGGGUAACACUAACUGGAGGACCGAACCGACUAAUGUUGAAAAAUUAGCGGAUGACUUGUGGCUGGGGGUGAAAGGCCAAUCAAACCGGGAGAUAGCUGGUUCUCCCCGAAAGCUAUUUAGGUAGCGCCUCGUGAACUCAUCUUCGGGGGUAGAGCACUGUUUCGGCUAGGGGGUCAUCCCGACUUACCAACCCGAUGCAAACUACGAAUACCGAAGAAUGUUAUCACGGGAGACACACGGCGGGUGCUAACGUCCGUCGUGAAGAGGGAAACAACCCAGACCGCCAGCUAAGGUCCCAAAGUCAUGGUUAAGUGGGAAACGAUGUGGGAAGGCACAGACAGCCAGGAUGUUGGCUUAGAAGCAGCCAUCAUUUAAAGAAAGCGUAAUAGCUCACUGGUCGAGUCGGCCUGCGCGGAAGAUGUAACGGGGCUAAACCAUGCACCGAAGCUGCGGCAGCGACACUAUGUGUUGUUGGGUAGGGGAGCGUUCUGUAAGCCUGCGAAGGUGUGCUGUGAGGCAUGCUGGAGGUAUCAGAAGUGCGAAUGCUGACAUAAGUAACGAUAAAGCGGGUGAAAAGCCCGCUCGCCGGAAGACCAAGGGUUCCUGUCCAACGUUAAUCGGGGCAGGUGAGUCGACCCUAAGGCGAGGCCGAAAGGCGUAGUCGAUGGGAAACAGGUUAAUAUUCCUGUACUUGGUGUUACUGCGAAGGGGGGACGGAGAAGGCUAUGUUAGCCGGGCGACGGUUGUCCCGGUUUAAGCAUGUAGGCUGGUUAUCCGAAAUCCGGAUAACAAGGCUGAGGUGUGAUGACGAGGCACUACGGUGCUGAAGUAACAAAUGCCCUGCUUCCAGGAAAAGCCUCUAAGCAUCAGGUAACAUCAAAUCGUACCCCAAACCGACACAGGUGGUCAGGUAGAGAAUACCAAGGCGCUUGAGAGAACUCGGGUGAAGGAACUAGGCAAAAUGGUGCCGUAACUUCGGGAGAAGGCACGCUGGUGUGUAGGUGAAGCCCCUGCGGGUGGAGCUGAGACCAGUCGAAGAUACCAGCUGGCUGCAACUGUUUAUUAAAAACACAGCACUGUGCAAACACGAAAGUGGACGUAUACGGUGUGACGCCUGCCCGGUGCCGGAAGGUUAAUUGAUGGGGUUAUCCGUAAGGAGAAGCUCUUGAUCGAAGCCCCGGUAAACGGCGGCCGUAACUAUAACGGUCCUAAGGUAGCGAAAUUCCUUGUCGGGUAAGUUCCGACCUGCACGAAUGGCGUAAUGAUGGCCAGCUGUCUCACACCCGACUCAGUGAAAUUGAACUCGCUGUGAAGAUGCAGUGUACCCGCGGCAAGACGGAAAGACCCCGUGAACCUUUACUAUAGCUUGACACUGAACAUUGAGCCUUGAUGUGUAGGAUAGGUGGGAGGCUUUGAAGCGUGGACGCCAGUCUGCGUGGAGCCAACCUUGAAAUACCACCCUUUAAUGUUUGAUGUUCUAACGUUGGCCCUUACCGGGGUUGCGGACAGUGUCUGGUGGGUAGUUUGACUGGGGCGGUCUCCUCCCAAAGCGUAACGGAGGAGCACGAAGGUUAGCUAAUCCUGGUCGGACAUCAGGAGGUUAGUGCAAUGGCAUAAGCUAGCUUGACUGCGAGCGUGACGGCGCGAGCAGGUGCGAAAGCAGGUCAUAGUGAUCCGGUGGUUCUGAAUGGAAGGGCCAUCGCUCAACGGAUAAAAGGUACUCCGGGGAUAACAGGCUGAUACCGCCCAAGAGUUCAUAUCGACGGCGGUGUUUGGCACCUCGAUGUCGGCUCAUCACAUCCUGGGGCUGAAGUAGGUCCCAAGGGUAUGGCUGUUCGCCAUUUAAAGUGGUACGCGAGCUGGGUUUAGAACGUCGUGAGACAGUUCGGUCCCUAUCUGCCGUGGGCGCUGGAGAAUUGAGGGGGGCUGCUCCUAGUACGAGAGGACCGGAGUGGACGCAUCACUGGUGUUCGGGUUGUCAUGCCAAUGGCACUGCCCGGUAGCUAAAUGCGGAAGAGAUAAGUGCUGAAAGCAUCUAAGCACGAAACUUGCCCCGAGAUGAGUUCUCCCCUGAGACUUUAAGUCUCCUGAAGGAACGUUGAAGACGACGACGUUGAUAGGCCGGGUGUGUAAGCGCAGCGAUGCGUUGAGCUAACCGGUACUAAUGAACCGUGAGGCUUAACCUUACAACGCCGAAG